GUACUCCUUUAGGCCUCAGAUGGAGAAAGAAGACAGCCCCAAACUUCAUGCUUAGUAUGUUGAUCUCACUGUCUCCCUAAACUCGUCAGUGUGAAGGACAUGGAGCUAGGCCUAACUCCAGAAGCCUCCUUAUGUGCAGAUGGCUGGCACCAAGAUCAAGCUGUGAGGCCAUGAGAAGACUCAGUUAGCACAUGGACAGGCCCACAUAGCAAUGAACUGCGACUUGCCAGCAACCAUGUGGGUGAGCCUGAAGCAGACUCUCACAUCCUAACUGAGUCUUCAGAUGGCUAUAGCCCUGGCUGGCCAUGAGACUGAGCCCGAGGAGAAAUGCUGAGACAAAUGCACGCAGCUAAGCAGCCCCUGGAUUCUUGAUGUACAGAAACUGUGACAUAAUAAAUUGUUGUUCAAAGCCAAGGGUUGGCAAAAUACAUUCCACUCGUUUUUGUAAAUAAAGUUUUAUUGGAACACAGUAAUGUU